AAAAAUCACUUUUUUUAACCGCAAAAUUAUUAUUAUUUUAACGAUCCUUACUCGAGGCCACGUUGUCAUCAUCGUCUCAAAGUAGGUUGACAGGCAAAAGGAGCCGUGUAAGUCAAUCAGCACGCCGACGAGACACUAAGCCCCUCCCCCCCGCUCACUCCGCGGGUGGCGUGAUGUCAUUCGAGUUGUCCUGGCAACUUCAGGGGUUCAUCUAUAUCGCCAGCACCCACCCACGUCAGUGUAAUGUGUGUAUGUGUGUCCUUGUUUUUUUCCUUGCCAUAGGUGACACACACACACGCAUGCACACACACAUGCGCGCUAGUCACGUGGCCAUGACUCAUCAACUGAGAGAACAAAUAUGGAGGAUGAACCAGCGGAUGCGAAAGGGAAGAAGAAGAAAAAGCAGGACGGGGAAAAAAAAAAAAAAGACGAGCCAUAGAAAGCGAGCGAUGGAGCAACCGGGAGCCAUCUGUGUGUUGCCAUGGCCACGAGCAGAGGUGUAGAUUUCCAGAGAUGGAGGGAGAGACCCGAAGCGCCGCCUAAUUACACCGCUGACGCAGGACGCCGAGACCGACAGCGAGAAGGAGGGAGGAUUACACGCAGCGUCCAUUUGCUAGAAGAGGAUCACACGCUCCCCUGAGUGUGUGUGUGUGUGUGUGUGUGUGUCCCGCGUGGUGCAGUGUCAUUGCAGCAUUCACUAAUUCAUUCAAUCUCCCCUAUUUGUUGUGUGUGUGUGUGGGGGGGUAAAAGAUGGGGAAAAGAGAGGGAUGGAGGGUAAUUACACUGGCACUUCCUGCUGCUCUCUAAUUGGCCAUCUGCGAUGCCAGGGGGCGGGCCCCGCAGCCAUCUUACAUCACGGACAAUCGGAGGCGCCCGAUUUACUUUUGAGCAAAAAUUGUGUAAAUGAUUCUGGCAAAUAUUU